rnacentral:rRNA from 1 species
UUAGGGUAAUGGCCUAACUAGGCGGAGACGGGAGAUCGGGGUUUGAUUCCGGAGAGGGAGCCUGAGAGAUGGCUACUACGUCCAAGGAUGGCAGCAGGCGCGAAACUUGCCAAGGAUGGCAGCAGGCGCGAAACUUGCCUAAUCCUUUGGGGAGGCGGUUAUGAGAAGUGAGUUUUUUUCGAGUGUAAAGGAGUCGAGAUUGAUUGAUUGGAGGGCAAGUCGGGUGCCAGCAGCCGCCGUAAUACCUGCUCCAAUAGUGUCUAUGGUGAAUGCU